GGAGAGGUGCCAGAGCGGUUGAACGGGGCGGUCUCGAAAACCGUUAGGCCCUUACGGGUCUCGAGGGUUCGAAUCCCUCCCUCUCCG
rnacentral:tRNA from 1 species